AGCGUUGCUCGGAAUUACUGGGCGUAAAGCGCACGUAGGCGGCUUUCUAAGUCGGGGGUGAAAUCCUGGAGCUCAACUCCAGAACUGCCUUCGAUACUGGAGAGCUCGAGUCCGGGAGAGGUGAGUGGAACUGCGAGUGUAGAGGUGAAAUUCGUAGAUAUUGGGAAGAACACCGGUGGCGAAGGCGACCAUCUGGACGACAACUGACGCUGAGGCGCGAAAGCGUGGGGAGCAAACAGG
rnacentral:rRNA from 1 species